rnacentral:rRNA from 1 species
AUUGAACGCUAGCGGGAUGCUUUACACAUGCAAGUCGAACGAGUGGCGGACGGGUUAGCAAUAUAUCGGAACGUGCCCAUUAGCGGGGGAUAACUACUCGAAAGAUUUGCUUAUACCGCAUCCUAUCGGAGCGGCCGAUAUGGGAUUGGCUAGUUGGUGGGGUAAAGGCUCAACAGGGCAACGAUCCGUAGCUGGUUUGAGAGGACGACCAGCCAAACUGGGACUGAGACACGGCCCAGACUCCUACGGAAGGCAGCAGUGGGGAAUUUUGGACAAUGGGGGAAACCCUGAGCCAGCCAUCCCGCGUGUAUGAGAAGGCCUUCGGGUUGUAAAGUACUUUUGGCAGAGAAGCGGUAUCUGCAGAAUAAGCACCGGCUAACUACGUGCCAGCAGCCGCGGUAAUAC